CGGGGCGUAGCGCAGUCUGGUAGCGCACUUGACUGGGGGUCAAGUGGUCACUGGUUCAAAUCCAGCCGUCCCGACCA
rnacentral:tRNA from 6 species